AACUCAUCCUGAUCUCGGAUGAACUGAGAGUGAGCACAUUUUCAGCACAUUUCAUUUUUGCUUGUACUGUUCCCUUUAAUUGAAUAAUUCAUGCAAAAAUGCACAUUCGGUCUUCAUUCACUCGCCCUUGUGUUGUGUCUGUGGAUCACAAGCGGAAAAGUAAAAGUGCUUAGUUAUGCGUUCACUGAGAAGAGCAGCGUGAACAUUUUUCUAAACGUCUCCUUUCGUGUUUCACGUGAGAAAGUCAGUCAAACCGGUUGGGAAUGACAUGAAGGUGAGUAAGUGAUGACAGACUGAUCAUUUCACUGAAUGGUUCUCAAAUCGGAGCCUAAUCUGUCCUUGUUCUCCGAGCUGAGAGAGAGAGACGAAACAGAAAAAGCGACUCGUGUGACCGUAACCUGUUGUCUUUGACUCUUCUGAACACAGUCUAGUUUAUUUUCAGGAAUAUCAAGAGAUUGAAAACUGAAAACAUCACUCUCUGUCUGAGACCGAUUGUGGGAGCCAGUGAUUCUUUAUGUGUUCAUGUCAUCUUCUGUUUGUAUGUGUAAUGAUCUGGUGUACACUGGAAAAGAGGAACUAUUACUCAUAUUCAUUGUCCCAACACGAGAAUAACGAUAAUAAACGUUUUAAGAGAAC